UACGUAGGGUGCGAGCGUUGUCCGGAAUUAUUGGGCGUAAAGAGCUCGUAGGCGGCUUGUCGCGUCGGCUGUGAAAACCUGGGGCUCAACCCCGGGCCUGCAGCCGAUACGGGCAAGCUAGAAUUCGGUAGGGGAGACUGGAAUUCAUGGUGUAGCAGUGAAAUGCGUAGAGAUCAUGAGGAAGACCAGUGGCGAAGGCGGGUCUCUGGACAGUUCCUGACACUGAGACACGAAGGCCAGGGGAGCAAACGGG
rnacentral:rRNA from 1 species